CUGACCGCGCUGCUCCCCCACCGGUGGGAGACUGGCUCAGCUCCCAGGGCAGUGGGUGAGGUGCAGGUGGCGCAGCACUCGGGCCAACCCGGCACAAAUGAACCUGACGCUCCUAGGGCCGGCCCUGCGUGUACCAGCUGCGCUGUCGGCCAGCUGCUCCUGCUGCCGCCUCUUGCGCCUCCCCACUGCAGCCCACAUGAUAGCAGCGGCCCCUCCGGAUGGCCUGCCGCUGCCAUCAGCAAGGCUACCAUAAGCCAUGAAUCAAUGACCAGUAUGGUGUCAUUUCUCACAAGCCAGAAUAGAUGGGUCCAGAAAUCAUCAAAGGGUAAGAAGUAGAAUUAACUUCUUUCAAUAUCAUACCCACUCAGAUUAUUUGAUGCCUGUUCCCCCCAGUUUUGAACUUUGCAGGUUUGGAGGUUUUAGAGGAAUACUUCCACCCAAAAGACACAGCAAUGAUGCCACUGAAUUGGAAGUUGGAAAUGUUACCUGGUCAUUUUGAGCUCCUUGUGCCACCAUAUCAGAAGCCAAAGAAAGGGGCCACACUAUUGACUGGAGCAAUUGAUCCUGAGUACCAACACAAAGUUGUGGCUAUAAAAUGAAAGCAGAAAGGAAAAUAUACAUGGAACCCAGAGUAUUCUUUCAGGUGCCUCUUAGUACUUCCAUUACAAUAGCAAAAGUUAUUGGAAAAGUAUAACAAGUGAAGGAAGGCAUGACCACAAAAAAUACACUUUAAUAAUGAAAAUUUGCAUCACCCCACCAGGUAAAGGGUUUAGACCAGUUGAAAUGCUGGCUGGGGGCAAUGAAAACACAAGAUGUUUAAUAGAAGAAAGAAGUUAUAAAUAUCACUACAGCCUUAUAAAACUAGGACUAC